UCUCCUGAGUCUGCCGUGUUUUAGUUUUGUGAUCUUACAACCAUGUUUAAGUCUAAAAAUAAGAGUUAGAAGUAGGACUGGCACAUGUCACUAUAUUUAAUUUAAUGAACUCUAACAGGAUUUUUGUUUCUAAACCCAGGACAUUGAGAUCUGCUGAUUGGAGAUCUUAGUGCCCAAGGAAGAAUGCUUGCAAAAGGAGAUGGAACAGUGUUUCUGUUGCAUUGGCCACUGAGAAUAUCUGGUUAUUUUGAAUUUGUCACAGUCUGCAGCUAAAAGGUGAACAGGAAAAGAAGAGGAAGCGGCACAUGAGACUAGCAGGAGUAAAUGUUUUAUACACUCGGCCUCGCAAAAAUUCUGCAAUCACUGGGAAUCAGUAACCUGGUGAAUGAGAAAACAACGUAAUACUGAAAAAUCAAAACACCAUCCUACAGAACUUUGAUGCAUUCAGAACAAAGCAGGAAUUCACUGAAUGUCUAUCUAUCAUGUAUGCUGUUGGAGGCACCUGUCUUUCAGUUCAGAGGUUAUGGAUGUAUCUAUCAUCAGUAUUUCGGGAAGUCAGGGACCCCGAACAGAUGGACUUAAUGAAGCUGUGGCAGAAGAACAAAUUGUGAAGAUUUCAUGGACAUUUAUUAGUUCCCCAAAUUAAUACUUUUAUAAUUUCUUACACCUGUCUUUACUGCACUCUCUGAACAUAAAUUGUGAAGAUUUCAUGGACAGUUAUCACUUCCCCAGUCAACACGCUUAUAAUUUCCUAUGCCUGUCUUUACUUUAAUCUCUUAAUCCCAUCAUCUUUGUAAGCUGAAGAUGUAUGUCCCUCAGGACCCUGUGAUGAUUGCGCUAUCUGCACAAAUUGUUUGUAAAGCAUAUGUUUUUGAACAGUAUGAAAUCUGGGCAUCUAGAAAAGGAACAGGAUAACAACGAUUUUCAGGGAACAAGGGAAAUAACCAUUAGGUCUGACUGCCGGGGAGCCGGGCAGGACCAAGUCAUAUUUCUCUUAUUGUCAAAAACGGGUAAGAGAAAUAUUGCUGAAUUCUUUCCCCAGUAAGGAAUAUUAAUAAUUAACAACCCUGGGAAAAGAAUGCAUUCCUGGGGGGAGGCCUCUAAAAUGGCCGCUCUGGGAAUGUCUGCCUUAUGCAGUUGUAGAUAGGGAUGAAACAUGCCCUGGUCUCCUGCAGCGCCCCCAGGCUUGCUAGGAUUAGGAAAUCCAGACUGGUGAAUUUUAGACAGACUGGUUGCCUGCUCUCAAACCCUAUCUUCUGAAAAGAUAUUAUCAAUGACAAUGUGUGCCCGGUGGUACAUGAGACUUCCUCAGCAAUUCUAAUUUUGCCCUGAUCAUGUGAUCUCACUCUGCCCCCAUCUGCCUUGUGAUAUUUUAUUGCCCUUGAAGCAUGUGAUCUCUGUGACCCACACCCUAUUCGUACACCCCUCCCCUUUUGAAAUCCAUAAUAAAAUCUUGCUAGUUUUGUGGCUGAAGGGGCAUCACAGAACCUGCCGACAUGUGAUGUCUCCCCCAGACACCUAGCUGUAAAAUUUCUCUCUUUUGUACUCUUUCCCUUUAUUUCUUAGACCAGCUGACACUUAGGGAAAAUAGAAAAGAAACUAUGUUGAAAUAUUGGGGGCUGGUUCCCCCAAUACAUUUCGACCUUGGAGAAUCUGAUGAUUUUGUGCCUGAUGGUUUUCUUUUGUAGUAUCUUGUUGGGGUUCUCUGCAUUUCCUGAUUUGAAUGUUGGCCUCUAGGUUGGGAGAAUUUUCAUGGAUGAUAUCCUUAAACAUGUUUUCCAAGUUGCUUACUUUCUCUCCCUCUCUUU
rnacentral:lncRNA from 1 species